GGAAGGGGAAAAUAAACUAGAUUGUCCCAAAUUUACCUAGAUAAACGGAAUAUAUUGAAAUACUUAAUAAAAGAUGUCAUUUUUUUUUAAUUAAGGUGCAUAGAAGAAAGGAAUGAAGAAAAGAAUGAAGAAAAGAAUGAAGAAAAUGAAGAAGCUAUGGAAACUGAAGUAAAUGAAGAAGCUAUGGAAACUGAAGUAAAUGAAGAAAUGAUGCAGUGAAAUUACUCAUGUAUGUGGGUAUUGUUUGUAUGGGUGGGUUUCAGUAGUGUAAUAUGGAGGUUCAGAUUUGACUUUCACUACCGCUAACAUUAAGGGACCAUUAACCAAUCAAAUGCGUUUGAUAUAUCCGAUUAACCAAUCAGAUACGUUUGAUAUAUCUGAUUAACCAAUCAGAUGCGUACUAAGCCAGUGAGAGGUGGCGGUAGUGGAAGUCAAAUCUGAACCUCGAUAUUACAGGGGAAGCAGAUGGUGGUCAACUUCGGAAAUAUUAGCACUUAUAGAAAAAACAAAUUUUUAAAUUUGCCACUGAUUACUGGGUGGCCAACGAUUUAUUGCUAUUCGUAGAUUCAUGUACGCGUAGCGUACCUAUUUUUAUCCAUUCCUAUUGUGUCUAAAAUUUCUAAAAAGGUAAAGCAUUCUUUGUCAAACACACCGAGAGAGUUCAUUGACAAAUUAACAAAUUUAAACAGAACUAAAGUGACCCCUUUAAUCUUCAAUUAGAUCUUUAAGGCUAGUUUCCACUCAAGAAAAUUAUCCGUGGAUUGGAACGGACAAGAAAAUUUCUCUUUGUGUUAAAGUCAUUAGUUCCAACCCAAAGCUCACAAGACAAAGAAAAAUUUUCUUGUCCGUUCCAAUCCACGGAUAAUUUUCCUGAGUGGAAACUAGCCUUUAUGUGUAGCUUUUUUGCGUUCAAGGUUAUGUAGAUAGGUUAGAUUCAAAUCAGACAGUGAGUUCACUUUUCUCACUCUGAUAUCUGCUUGUGUUGACCACCUUUUGCUGCAUGAUAGUGCGUAGUGAAACCCACCCAAACUACUAGUAAAACAUAAUAAAAAUGGCGACAUGAUCUUAAAAAAGUUCUUUGCAAAUAUAAAUCGGCAGCGAUAAUGCAGUUGAAAAAUGUUUCUGGAGUUGCAAAUAGAAAUUAUUGGAUUUGCUUGGUUGAAAUUUUAUUCCAUUACGGGUACAAAACAAAACUAUUAUUUAAACUGCAGUAAUCCAGUGUAAUUCAGUGUAUAUACAACAUGAACGGUCUGCUGUAUUGUAUAUUUUAUAUAACACAUACGCUAAUGGAGUAAUGCUGUGAAUACCUUGUAAAAUCAUUAAUAAUUAAUGAAAAACAAAACAAAUCAUGAGCGUGAAGAAGUUUGUAUAUGUGAUACAGAAAUCAUGCUGAUUUACAUACAUUUUAAGUUUAUUUUCUCCCCAAAUUCAAUAAUUUAUUUUAAAUUGAAAAUACGAAAGUUCUCAUCUUCCAGUCCCGAGAGCAAGCGCCUUUUACCUCUGAGAUCGUGGGUUCGAUUCUCGCUACGGACUCAUGUGAAAGAGUCGGGCAACGCUCUGCCAAACGUCGUGGGUUUGCUCCGGGUGCUCCGGGUUUCCUCCCACAGGGAAAGUUGACAGGGAGGGCAGGAUAUAUUAAGAAAGUAAUAUCACAAUUGUUGUAAAGAUAAAGCAGUCGAGGCUAAGUAAGUAAUUUGGUGAGCGUGAUACUUGAUGUAAAUCGCAUUUGAUCAUAUGCACAUGGAAAUUUUCGCUAUAAAAAUGCUAAUCGUUUUAAUCGUAAUAUAAAGUAUUCGCGUCUGUGUUACAGACAUACAACCUCUCGCCUUCGGCUCGAGAUUAUAUAUCUGAUACAACUUUAUCCAGUACUAGUGUUUGUCUUAACAGUUGCCCUGUUAACAGUUGACUGCUUAUAUUCAGUUGUGCAAAUUUGUUUUCGUAAUAUAAAAUCUGAAUGGUUUUGGUCAAUGAAUAGUUGUGGUGUUAUGUACUCAGGUGAUGUGUUGCUCUCUGAGUGUGUCCACAUCGGCUGAAAAUUUUCGCUAGCAAACCAAAGGUCGCGGGUUCGAUUCCCAUCGCGGUCAUGCAAAAAUAAAAUUUUCGGCUUGCCAGGUGUGGACCACUGAUCUAUAUGAACACACUCAGAGUGAACAACAUCACAAAUAAUUUUAAUUUAUUCUGCGUAUACUCCCUUGAGUAACAGCUAAUCAUACCUCAGUAUUUUACGGUUCCAGACGAAUUGGGAAGCGGCAACCAAUAGCGUUUCGUGUCAUAAAUGAUAUUAAUGAGGCUAUUCAUACGCUUUCAUUCUUAUGUCAUUUCGUAUACCAAGCACCUCUCGUAAUUGGAAGGAGGAAAUAAACUAGAUUGUCCCAAACUUACCUAGAUAAACGGAAUUUAUUGAAAUACUUAAUAAAGAUGUCAUUUUUCUUUUUUAAUUAAGGUGCACAGAAGAAGAAAAUGAAGAAGCUAUGAAAACUGAAGUAAAUGAAGAAAAAAUGCAAUGAAAUUACUCAUGACUAUACUAUGUAUGUGGGUAUUAUUGUAUGGGUGGGUUUCAGUAGUGUAAUAUGGAGGUUGAGAUUCGACUUCCACUACCGCUACCAUGAAGGGACCAUCAACCAAUCACAUGCGUUUCAUAUAUUCGAUUAACCAAUCAGAUGCGUACUAAGCCAGUGAGAAGUAGUGGAAUCUGAACGUCUACAUUACAGAGACAGCAGAUGGUGGUGGACUUCAGAAAUAUUGGCACUUAUAGAAACAAGCAAAUUUAAUUACAUCUCUCAAUCAUAUUUAUUUGCCACCAAAUACACUACUCUACAUACAGUAGAAUGAACAUCAUUUUCUUACUCUGAUAACUGCUAGAACUUUGACCACCUUCUGCGGCAUGAUAAUGCGUAGUGAAACCCACCAAAACUACUAGUAAAACAUAAUAAUGCUUCCUGAGUUAUCAUACGAAGAAGCCUUGAUGAAAUGUAAUCUCAAAACUCUAGAAGGUCGUAGACAAGAUAUGUGUGUUAAUCUUAUUAAGUUGCUGCUUGACCCUGGUCAUAAACUGCAUGAAUUAUUGCCACCUAAAGUUUGUGAAAUUAGGAAUAGAGAAACAAGAUUAAGUGGAGAUAAGUUUUAUAAUUUUAAUGUCUGACUGAACGUUUUAAAAAUAGUGCAAUUGUCUAUGGAGUCGAACAAUAUAAUAAUUUUAAUAGUUAAUAGUAGUUAGUUUUUAAAUUAAUAGUUUUUAGAUUGAAAUAUGAGUAUUCCUGUAAAUAGAGUAGUGUAUAUUCUCAUUCUUAACUGUAAUUCGCAUUAUAUCACAUUUGUGUCGGUUUUCUUUGAUCGUCCGAGGUUUAUAACUAGCUUAUAUACCUUGAAUAAAUAAUUAGAUUAAACUUGUAGACAAAACGCGAGAAUUUUUCAUUAAAAAUUUUUGAAAAUGACAAAAUAUGUUAGAAAACCUCCACAAAUGUGAUAUAAGUUAGUUAUAAACCUCGAAAGUCGGUUUAUAACUGAUAUAUUGCCCUCGGACGCUACGCGUCCUCGGGGGCAAUAUAUCAGUUAUAAACCUCCUACUCGGUUUAUAACUCUAACUUAUAAUUUAGUGUUUAACUACUUAAUGUGAAAUUUUAGAAAAUAAUAAUAAUAAUUAUAAUAAAAAUGGCGGCAUGAUCUUAAAAAAGUUAUUUGAAAAUAUAAAUGGGCAGCGAUAUACAGUAUAAUGCAGUUGAAAAAUGUUUAUGGAGUUGCAAAUAGAAAUUAUUGGAUUUGCUUAGUUGAAAUUUUAUUCCAUUACGGGUCCUUGUGUGUAAAGGGUUUAAAUGGAAAACAGCUUCUUAUACACGCGUGUUACUAUUGUAAACACAAUUCGAUUAUGUAAUCAAUUAACAUGAGCGGCAAUCUCGUUCCCCGAGCCUGCGAUCCUCGGGAAGGAAUCGAAGGCUCUGGGAUAAUCCGUUACCGGAAGCCAAGAAUCCUGGCUAAGAUUGAACUACGCAUUCCAUUUCAAUGGCCAAUCAGAUUCCUCCCUGAAACGGAUUAUCCCAGAGCCUCGCGUUCCUUUCCGAGGAUCGCAGGCUCGGGGAACGAGAUUGCAUGAGCGGCUGUCUUGUAUCCAUUGAACUGUCUCGUACCCAGGCGCUUUGGUUUGUUUACGUCAUUAAGCGCACGCGGGACGGCACGCGAGGGAGAAAAACGGAAAAUUCGGCAGAAAUCGAUCAAAUUAAUCCACGCAA
rnacentral:lncRNA from 1 species